rnacentral:tRNA from 1 species
GCGCCGGUCGUGUAGGGAGUAGCAUCGCUGCCCGGAAAGCGGAAGGUGCGGGUUUGAGUCCCGCCUGGGGCA